GCCGCCUACCAGUCGGCCAGAGCAGCGCACUCGUAAUGCGCAGGUCGUCGGUUCGAUUCCGACAGGCGGCUCCA
rnacentral:tRNA from 1 species